UGCAGCCGGUGGGGUCGGGCGGGAGGGCGCGGGCAGGGAGGGCGGGCAGAGCGGUGGGGGAGGAGCUACCUGAGCCAGCGCUGGACGCCAGGCUGGACGCCACACUGGAGCUUACGCUGGGGGCCAGCGGGUGAACCACUGCAAACACAGCGAGGUGGUUCUGUUCAAAAACACACAAACAACAUGAGCAGGAGCCGCACAUGACGUCAGACAGCGUGGUGCACUCCUCUCCCCGGAGCGGUGGCCAAGGGAGCCAGCUCUUCUGGCUGCGCACCAUGUGGGUCACGGCGGCCCCAGUGGGCAACAGACACAUCUGGAAAGUGAGGACAUGGCGCUUGAAAGCAGCUUGCGGGUGGACCUCGCUCCAGCAGGUGCAGGCGCAGAGACCAGGCUAGGGGAGAGCAGGCAGCCUUUCAGCGAGGUGCUGGGCUGCUCUCCCCCUCACCGCCCGCCACGCGUGCAGGAGACGACGGCCUUGGGACUGACUGGACAGCCAAGUGCACCUUCCUGUGGCCUCCUCGCCCAAGGAAAGGGAGACCCAGCCAAGCCACAGUCAUCGAUGGAAGCACAACACCCGGCACCUAUCCUUGCGGAGGACAUGGCACGUGAGACAAGAUGCAGGAAAAGGACCAAGCAGAGUGCAAGGCUGCGUCCACCACAGCAGGUAGAGCCACAGGGCACGUGAGGACGAGCCCCUGUGGGCCUCUACAGUCAGAACCCAGUGCCACCUGGGCCUUGCUUCAGAAGAGCGGGAAAAUUACCCUCAGGCCUCAGCCGCCAGGCGCAGCACAGCGUGGGGGGCCAGCGGGCAGGGCAGAGCUGUCGGCACCUCCUCCUUUUCCUCUUCCUCCCGGCUGGACACAGGCAGCGUGAGGCCCGGCCCUGCCUGCUUCCCUGCACACCGCUGAGCCUCAGGGCGCUGUCAGCACCUGGCACUUUGGUUUCCCAGCUGCCGCUAGGCUGGACCCUGACUUUGGGCCCCACAGGCGCCUCCUGCUCUUCCUCCUGCCCCAGGGCACAGCCGCCCUCAGACCUCAGGACCCGGAACCACGGUGUGUCCUGGGAGGUCGACUCACUUCACUCAGCAGGGCGUCCUUCUCAGAGGCCGGGGUGUCCACCCCGAUCCCCUUGUGGACACCCCCAAGGUAACUACUGGGCUGUGAGGGGCACCUCGCACAAUUGUCCAGAGGGAGGCGGCGGCCUCGGGAUGCACACAGGGCGACGGGAGCUGGGGCCGCGGCCUCGGAGCAGUGAGGCAACGUCUGCUGUCCUGUCCAGGCUGUGUUCUGCUGUGACGGCCCUGCGGGCACCAUCCUCGCUCCAUCCCUACUCCCUUCCUUCUGAAGGCUCACCGACACUGCACGGCACCGACAGACCACGCUUCACUCUGCCCUGUGUCCACCAGCGGGCACCGGAGCUGUCUGCACAUCUCGGCCCGAGUGGCGUGGACGCGGGCCUGGCGCGCCGCCCCGGCCUGCUCUCAGAUCCUCUGGCGCGUGCCCCGUGGUCACUGCUGCUCGCCUGUCUCCACCUCUUACUUCUGAGGAGCCCGUGCUGUUUCCCAGUGGCUGCGUCCCCAACCCCAGGAGGCUGUGUCCGCCCGUGCUUCCGGGCCCCGCCUCUGGGGACGUCGACGCAGGCCCUUGGCCGACCUAACUCAGGCGGCUUUUCCCGUUGCGAUGAAGCUGCCCAGUGCUUCUUCUGGAGGCGAGCACCUGGGCCGCGCUCUCCCCGGGGCUGCUGCUCUCGGGUGGACAGUCCCUUGGACACCUACACCACUCUGUGCUUGCCAGUGCGUCUGGUGUCCUGUCUGAGAGUCCACUGCCGACCACAGGGUCAGAGACUCCUCCAUCCACCCGCGAGUCCCUCUGGGCUACAGGCAGCAGGCCCACAGUGCCGGCCGGAGGGUGACUUGAAGUGACAUCUGAAGAGCCUGCAGGUUAGCUGAGAAAGGAGGCUGCGAGCUGCUGGGGCCACCAGUCAGUGACCAGCGUGCUGCGUCCAGGGCGGAGGUGACGAGCACAGUCAGCCUGCCUUCAAAGAGGUGCGGGUCCCACAGCCUCUGAGACCUGCGUGUGGUCCUGGCACGUCACUGGCAGUGUCUCAGCCUGCGUGGGAUGUCCCCAGGGGCUGUGUGGAUGCAGCUGCUGGGCGGCCACACCUCCACUCCAGUGACACCAGGCCACUGUGCUCUCCGCCACGUGGCCCCAGGACAGGCCUAGGGCCGAGGGGCUCCUGAGGCUGCAGGUGGCACUGCCCAGGGAAGGAGCUGUGAGGAGCAGGGAUGGCAAACGGGGAGUGUAAUGGACACGAGCCGCCCUGAUGGCCGAGGCCCCAGAAACUGAUGGGAGACAGGGACAUGGGGACCUGCAUGAAAUCGAGAGACGGGGUCGGGGGAGGAAACGCCUUCCCCGCCAUAGCAGGGCCCGUGUGGACAGGAGUCCAGGGAGUCACGGUCCACACUGUCCACCUGAGAGUCGCAGAGGCUGACCUCAGAGCCACUGCCUUCUCCAGCCUUCUGGCUGACCAGAGGUCCGGAAGCAGCUUGGGACCCAGCACGCUGGCCUGAGUCCCCGGAAGCAGCCCACUGCUGCUCCCGCAGCUCCAAGGCAGGCACAGAGUCGGACUCUGGGUGCAGGUGAGACUCGGUGCAGAGACCAAUCAGCCAAGCUGCCCAGGCCCAGGGCUGCUGAACCCUGAGCCAGGUGGGAAGAGCCGCUGGGCCCUGCCCACCUCGGACAGGACACCACCCCAGGAGUGGCAGCUGACCCAGCAGCUACCUCUGGGGUCCUCCUGCCCCGGUGCUGGUAUGAGGGCAGCCCACAGGUACCUCUGGAGUCUGUUCUGCCCACACCCUGGCUCCCCUGGACCUAAGACUGAGGAACACAGGCUUGUUGGCUGUACUUACUGGUAACAUUUCACAUUUCAGAUUGAUUUUUACAUUGACUUUAAUCUUUUUUUUUUAAUCACAUACAACUAAAUUAAGUUGCAUUUACUUUGAACUGUCCUGCUAAUUUUUUAAAUGUGCUUCAGAGGUUCCCUUAGCUACUAAGUAAUUAAACACAGGAGAUUUCAGAGGUAUCACACCGCAUGUUGAGUUUCACACGCUGCAAUGGAGCAAAGGGCCCAGAAAGGUAAGUCCCAGGGAUUUCACAGAGAAUUUUGUUUUCCCAGUGCACAUAGUUAUGUUUACACUGUACUGGAGUCCACUAAGUGCAUCAUGGAAUCGUGAUACACUGAUCUAAAAAAACAAGGUAUGGUUGGGCACAGUGGCACAUAAUUGUAAUCCCAGCAACUUCGGAGGUUAAGGCUGGAGGAUUGUGAGU